AUAAUCAUUUGCCUUAUAAUUGAAGGCUGGCAUGAAUGGUCUGACGAAAGCAACACUGUCUCCUCUUUAUUACCUAAAAAUUAACCUAUAGGUGAAGAGGCCUAUAUUGAAUUGAAGGACAAGAAGACCCUGUCGAGCUUAAAAGAAAAGUAGAAGUUAGUUAUCAAAAAGAAAUCAGUAAACUAUAUACAGCUUUUUAGUUGGGGCGACUAAGGAACAAAUAAAGCUUCUUUUUAUUUCUCUAAAUUUACAGAUCUAGAUCCAGUAGAGCUGAUCAAAGAAAUUAGUUACCGCAGGGAUAACAGCAUAAUCUCCUUUGAGAGACCUAAUCGAAAAGGGGGGUUGU
rnacentral:rRNA from 1 species